CUAGCCGGGUCUUGGGGGAGUAGUCGCUUAAUUACCCAAUUAAGACACACAUCAACAUAGUUGAACUUAACUAAGAACGGUUCAUGGUGUGUGUAUCCGAAGUUCGGACUGACGAGACUUAAGGCUUAGCGCAUCUGCUGUAGGGCAGGGGUGGGCUAUGCCUUAGUGUUCACAGUCUGCCCU
rnacentral:sRNA from 2 species